AGAGUUUGAUUCUGGCUCAGAACGAACGGUGGCGGCGUGGAUAAGACAUGCAAGUCGAGCGGGAUUUUACGGGUAGCAAUAUUCGUGAGGUUCAGCGGCGCAAGGGUGCGUAACACGUGGGCAAUCUGCCUAGGGGAGCGGGAUAGCUCGGCGAAAGUCGAAUUAGUACCGCAUAAGACUACUGAGAGCAUUCUCGGGAUGUCAAAGGUGGCGCAAGCUGCCGCUCCUGGAUGAGCCCGCGGCCUAUCAGCUAGUUGGCGGGGUAACGGCCCACCAAGGCGAUGACGGGUAGCUGGUCUGAGAGGACGACCAGCCACACUGGAACUGAGACACGGUCCAGACACCUACGGGUGGCAGCAGUCGAGAAUUUUUCUCAAUGGGGGCAACCCUGAAGGAGCGACGCCGCGUGGAGGAUGAAGGUCUUCGGAUUGUAAACUCCUGUCAUUUGGGAACAAAUACCUGAUUUAACUGAUUAGGAACUGAUAGUACCAGAAGAGGAAGAGACGGCUAACUCUGUGCCAGCAGCCGCGGUAAUACAGAGGUCUCAACCGUUGUUCGGAUUCAUUGGGCGUAAAGGGUGCGUAGGCGGUCGCGCAAGUCGGAUGUGAAAUCUUAGGGCUCAACCCUGAAACUGCAUUCGAUACUGCGUGGCUCGAGUACUGGAGAGGAGACUGGAAUUUACGGUGUAGCAGUGAAAUGCGUAGAUAACGUAAGGAAGACCAGUGGCGAAGGCGAGUCUCUGGACAGUUACUGACGCUGAGGCACGAAGGCCAGGGGAGCAAACGGGAUUAGAUACCCCGGUAGUCCUGGCAGUAAACGGUGUACGUUUGGUGUAGGCGGAUUCGACCCCGCCUGUGCCGGAGCUAACGCGUUAAACGUACCGCCUGGGAAGUACGGUCGCAAGAUUAAAACUCAAAGAAAUUGACGGGGGCCCGCACAAGCGGUGGAGUAUGUGGCUUAAUUCGAUCCACGCGAAGAACCUUACCAGGGUUUGACAUGUAUCUCUAAGUCGGUGAAAGCUGGCGAGUUGUAGCAAUACAACAAUUUACACAGGUGCUGCAUGGCUGUCGUCAGCUCGUGUCGUGAGAUGUUGGGUUAAGUCCCGCAACGAGCGCAACCCUUACGUCCUGUUGCCACUCCUUUAUUGGAAGCACUCUGGACGGACUGCCCUGUGAAACGGGGAGGAAGGUGAGGAUGACGUCAAGUC
rnacentral:rRNA from 1 species